GGACAAUGAGGAUUAACAUGUAUUAGGUUCGCUCGUCAUAAUGGCAAUAUAUUUUGCCUUGCCGAUGAUUUUAUGAUCUGAGUCC
rnacentral:snoRNA from 1 species